rnacentral:tRNA from 2 species
AAGAAAUAUUAUUUAAAAGCUUCUAACUUUUUACAAGCAAUAAUUUGUUAUAUUUCUAUU